GGAAAAAACAGGUCAUUUGACAAGGAAAUCCGUACUUGUCUUGUCAAUGUUAUAAAGAUGGACUUACUUUUUAGAAGGUGAGAAGACGUUAUUUUUAAAAUGAAAUCGUUUAACCACGAAUUAUCUUAUAAUCACUAAACAAGAUUAUAGUAGGAAAACUUUUAACUUAAUAUAAUCAUUGAGAAUUUGAGACCGUUAUUUCACCUAACAUUUAAAUCUGCCACAAAGAUAAUAAUUGAAAGUUUGAUGUUUGUUGGUUUUGUGAAAAUCUUGUGUUUUUUCUUUCUUUUUUCUUUUUGUUAUUGCUAAAUAGCAAUUUUUUUUGUGAAAAUUCUUCACCCACAGUCGUGCUUCAGCUGGCCCCUUAACACAAUUGCGUACUAGUUCAGUGAUCAGUGUUUUUUGUGUUGAUGGAUCUUUUGUUAUGUAUUUGUAUUGCUCAAUGUCACCUCUGUACUAUUUACUAUUAUUAUUUUGUUUAUUGUUUAGUACAUUCAUUAUGCCGUUACUUUUUUCAAUUAUAUUAUAUAACAUUUGUCAUUUUUGGGACUUCGGCUGUUUUGAAUUUCGAAACUUGAUGAUAAGAGCUACGUUCAUACAGUUGUAAUACAGUUUCCAUAAUGUAUCAAAUGAUAUCAUUUAACAAAACUCAAAAAUCUGAUACAUGAUAUAUUACAUUCCAGAGUAGGUGUUGCAACAAUCAUCUUCAUUUGCUGUUUGUGGCCAAUGAUAUCAGCAGUAAGCUACCGCUGUUUCAAGCCCAAUCACGGAUUAACCAAUGGCUGUAGUAUUCCAUUAUUUAAAAAGUUUCCGUUCAAAAAGAAUUUCACACCAGCCUGUCAGCGUCAUGAUAUCUGCUACAACUGUGUAAGUUAUUAGAGUAUUUCGUUUUUCAAUUAAAUUACUCGAUUCGUCACCGUGAUGAUAUUGACGUGCAAUAGCAACCACUGUGUACUCGUCUUAUCAAUGGAUUGAUUCGAUUCAUCACCAAUAUAAUGUAACCUUGCUGCAGCGGUAUUGUUUCACUAAUUCUUUCUAAUGAAAUGUUUCUAUUUAACAUCACCAAUAUAUAAUCGGAAAAUUGCAUUUUCUUCGAACGAGCAUCAACAAUUGCUAAUCUAUAAAUAUUCAAUAUACCAUAAUAAUGAAACAAUAUGAAAGUUUCUUAAUGACAAAUUAUAGUUUGGAACAAAAUAUGUUGAAUUUUAGUUAAAAUGAUGUUGAUCUGUUUUAAAUUCUUUUUUAGGGCUCAGAAUUAAACAAAAGCAGGAAAUACUGCGACGAUCUUUUUCUGAAAGAUAUGACGAAAAUUUGUAAGAAAAUGAAAUGGUAUCAGAGAGGAACCUGUAGAUACUUCACACUUGUUUACUACAGGACUGUACGCAUUGGUGGUUUUUAUAGUUACGAGCUCUUUUCGAAGAAGCAAUGUAAGCAAACGUGGGUACGCAGCUGCUUCCCCUAACCAUAGUGAAUGUAGCAACAAAGAUUUGAAUUAUAUAACAAUAAAAGCAUCCCACGA
rnacentral:lncRNA from 1 species